rnacentral:rRNA from 1 species
UUCGCAAUGCCCGAAAGGGUGACGAAGCGACGCCGCGUGGGUGAGGAAGGCCUUCGGGUUGUAAAGCCCUGUCAGGAGUUAAGAAAUAUAAGUGCGCUAAUAUCGCAUUUAUUUGACAAAGGCUCCAAAGGAAGCCACGGCUAACUCUGUGCCAGCAGCCGCGGUAAUACAGAGGUGGCAAGCGUUGUUCGGAAUUAUUGGGCGUAAAGAGCACGUAGGUGGAUUUGCAAGUCAGAUGUGAAAGCCUUCUGUUCAACGGAAGAAUUGCAUCUGAAACUGCAAACCUUGAGUGUAGGAGGGGAGAAUGGAACUUCUGGUGGAGCGGUGAAAUGCGUAGAUAUCAGAAGGAACGCCGGCGGCGAAAGCGAUUCUCUGGCCUAUUACUGACACUCAGUGUGCGAAAGCUAGGGGAGCAAACGGGAUUAGAUACCCCGGUAGUCCUAGCCGUAAACGAUGGGCACUAAGUAGAGGGGUUUU